rnacentral:misc_RNA from 1 species
UAAUGGGAGAUAAUCAGGAUCGAGUUGCGCACCGUUAUUCCGAAUACGGUCACGAAUCCGAUCAUUGAGCCGAGCGUCAGCAGGCCGCCGGUGCCGAAAACCGCUAGGACGCCGCCGACGAGGGCGAACGGCAGAUUAAUCAGAACGAGAACAAGGUUGCGCCAGCCGCGCGUAACAAUGGACAAUAGUAGCACAAUGGCGAUGCCGCCGAUGACGGAAUUCAGGAUCAGAUCGCUCUGCGCCUGAGCCUGCGCCUGAGCGCUACCGGAAAACUGGAUGUAGGUGCCGGCCGGCAGCUUGACUUGAGAUGCAAUGCUGGCACGUGCUGCCCGCACGACAGCGGCG